rnacentral:rRNA from 1 species
AGGGAGUCACUGUUGGGAUACCACCCUUGUAGUAUUGGAUUUCUAACCAGCAGCCGUGAACCGGCUGGGGGACAAUGUCAGGUGGGGAGUUUGACUGGGGCGGUCGCCUCCGAAAGGGUAUCGGAGGCGCUCAAAGGUUCCCUCAGAAUGGUUGGAAACCAUUCGAAGAGUGCAAAGGCAGAAGGGAGCUUGACUGCGACACCGACGGGUGGAGCAGGUACGAAAGUAGGACUUAGUGAUCCGGUGGUAUAAAGUGGGAUUGCCAUCGCUCAACGGAUAAAAGCUACCCUGGGGAUAACAGGCUUAUCACUCCCAAGAGUUCACAUCGACGGAGUGGUUUGGCACCUCGAUGUCGGCUCAUCGCAUCCUGGGGCUGAAGUAGGUCCCAAGGGUUGGGCUGUUCGCCCAUUAAAGCGGUACGCGAGCUGGGUUCAGAACGUCGUGAGACAGUUCGGUCCCUAUCCGGCGUGGGCGUAGGAUAUUUGAGAGGAGCUGCCCUUAGUACGAGAGGACCGGGGUGGACUGGCCGCUGGUGGAUCUGUUGUAUUACCAAAUGCAU